AACGAACGCUGGCGGCAGGCUUAACACAUGCAAGUCGAACGCAUCGCAAGAUGAGUGGCAGACGGGUGAGUAACGCGUGGGAACAUUCCUUUCUCUACGGAAUAGCUCUGGGAAACUGGAAUUAAUACCGUAUACGCCCUACGGGGGAAAGAUUUAUCGGGGAAGGAUUGGCCCGCGUUGGAUUAGCUAGUUGAUGGGGUAAAGGCCUACCAAGUCGACGAUCAAUAGCUGGUCUGAGAGGAUGAUCAGCCACAUUGGGACUGAGACACGGCCCAAACUCCUCCGGGAGGCAGCAGUGGGGAAUAUUGGACAAUGGGCGCAAGCCUGAUCCAGCCAUGCCUCGUGAGUGAUGAAGGCCUUAGGGUUGUAAAGCUCUUUCCCCGAUGAAGAUAAUGACGGUAGUCGGAGAAGAAGCCCCGGCUAACUUCGUGCCAGCCGCCGCGGUAA
rnacentral:rRNA from 1 species